CGAACGGGUGAGUAACAUAUUGGAAUGUACCGAAUAGUGGGGGAUAACCAAUCGAAAGAUUGGCUAAUACCGCAUACGUCCUGAGGGGGAAAGCAGGGGAUCUUCGGACCUUGCGCUAUUUGAGCAGCCAAUAUCUGAUUAGCUAGUUGGUGGGGUAAAGGCCCACCAAGGCGACGAUCAGUAGCGGGUCUGAGAGGAUGAUCCGCCACACUGGGACCGAGACACGGCCCAG
rnacentral:rRNA from 1 species